CACACCUCCUCUCAGGUGGACGCCGUUUAACCACCGGGGUGUAGUCUGCGACCAGAUGGACAAGGUUGUGAUCCGAGCGACCAAGUGGGGGGAGGGGGGAAGAGGUGUAUGCGUCCUCGACAUUAGCAUACAACAGGUCCAAAGUUCUAUCGUUUCUGGUGGGGCAGUCAACAUAUUGAGUAAAGGCGGGAAGGGAAGAGGCAAGGCAAGCAUAAUUGAAGUCCCCAGAGAUGAGGAGGAGAGAUUGGGGGUGCUGGGUUUGAAGCCUAGAAACGAUAGCAUGGAUCCGGUUCGUAGUGGUAGCAGCGACUGCCGAGGGAGGGAUGUACACAGUUAUAGCAAUAACAUGUAAAAACUCCCUCGGGAGAUAGUACGGUCGCAUGCUAACCACCAAUAGCUCCAAGUCACUGGAGCAGAGACGCUCCUUAACGCUGAUGUGUCCGGGAUGGCACCAUCUAUCGUUCACAAACACAGCGAGUCCCCCAUCUCUCUUCUUACCGCUUUCCGUAGCACUCCUGUCAGCCCGCACCACUUGAAAACCGUCCAGGGAGAGGUGUGAGUCGGGCGAGAGAUCGUUCAGCCAUGUCUCCGUGAAGCACAUGAGACUGCAUUCGCGAUAUUCCCUCUGCGUCCUGGCUAGCGCCGUUAGCUCUUCCAUUUUGCUUUGAAGAGAUCUCACGUUUCCCAUGAUGACCGACGGCAAGCACGGUUUAUACCGUCUCUUCCGCUGCUUGCACUUCACUCCGGCUCGGCAUCCUCUUCUCCGCGGCCAUAUCUCCUUGGGGAUCUCCGGCCGCAACCCGCAGGGAAGGGGUGUGUAGCGCCAGGCUAACAGCUGAUCGCGGGUGUAGACAAGGGAGCAGAGUAUGGAUGGCUCACCCAACGCCGCACCAAAAAGUUCCAAAAUCAGUACGGAACAAACUAUGAAUGUUACAACGUGAACAUCCAUAGCCGCGCACUAGCCUAAUUCAAUGAUGUGAGAAGGUGAAAAACAACAAAAAACUCACUAUAACACAAUCAAAACACUAAAAGAAGGGAAGUAAGGACAAAGCUGCUGUAACAGGCUACCACUCGAGCGGCGCCAUCAAAGAAAAAAAAAAAAGAACAAAAAAAAAA